rnacentral:sRNA from 1 species
UAUAAGAUGACAUUUACCAAUGGAACAAUGGUUAUGGACUGUGACCCUAUAUCAGAUUAUAUGUGAUAUAUCCCUAUUUUCACUGAUUUUAUCUAUGUUUAAGGUAUAGGAUUUUGAGUCUUUAUAUUGUUUCUCGAGUCUUUUAAGUGUUUUUUCAGGGAUUCUAUGCAAUGGGACAACAAUGGAGAUGAGGAGACAUUUUGGAGCAAAAGCUAAGGAAAAGGAAGCUAAGGACGAUUUUGGAUUCAGGAAUCAGAGAGAGUGUCGAUCGACACCAGUUUCGGCCCAGCAAAGUCCAUGACGCUUUCAAGUUUACAGAAGAGGAAAUUUGCCCCAGAAGAGUUCUCUAUUUGCAUUAUUAGUCCCUGGACGUUUUAUAGGGUUUUUUUAUACAUUGUUUAGACCUAAGUUUUCUUUUAUCAAGUUCUUUGCAAACCCUAUUUUGAGAGACAUAAGCUAUUCAUCCAUUGUUCUUGAGAGAUUCAUCCAAUUCUU